rnacentral:misc_RNA from 1 species
CUGUUUUCUCAUCAAUUCUA